GACGAACGCUGGCGGCGUGCUUAACACAUGCAAGUCGAACGGGAACCUUUAUUUCGGUAAAGGUGAGAGUGGCAAACGGGUGAGUAACACGUAGGCAACCUGCCGACAGGAUGGGGACAACAUUCCGAAAGGAAUGCUAAUACCGAAUGGAGUCCGAGGAUGGCAUCAUCCUUGGAUCAAAGAUGGCCUCUUAACAAUGCUAUCGCCUGUCGAUGGGCCUGCGUCUGAUUAGCCAGUUGGCGGGGUAACGGCCCACCAAAGCGACGAUCAGUAGCCGGUCUGAGAGGAUGAACGGCCACAUUGGGACUGAGACACGGCCCAGACUCCUACGGGAGGCAGCAGUGGGGAAUCUUCCACAAUGGGCGAAAGCCUGAUGGAGCAACGCCGCGUGAGUGAAGAAGGUCUUCGGAUCGUAAAGCUCUGUUGCACGGGACGAAAACUGGGUUUGAAAACAUUGAACCCGGGUG
rnacentral:rRNA from 1 species